rnacentral:rRNA from 1 species
CGCUAAAUAGCUAGCCCACCCAACCAAAAACAAUAACUCAUUAUUAAUAACCCCCAACACACUAUAGACCCCCCCCAAACAAAACAUUUUUCCUCCCUAGUAUGGG